AUUAAGUGUCUCUGUUAUGUGCUGUGAAGUAUUCAUUUAUAAAUGUCUUUUCUUUGUUUGUUUAGAUUUGGUCAUUGAGCUUUAUCUCCGGAGCAAUUCUUGAGCAUUACGAGCACUACAAAUUCUCCACUGCACAAUAUCCAAUCUAUUCAACGAACAACCUACAUUCUUCUCUGCAGUUGAACGCCUGGUUUGGGAUUUUCUCAGAGCAGCAGUUCUUCUGUAUUGUUCUCC